GAUAAAUCAUUGAAUAAGAGGAGUACGUUUAACUAAAAUCGUCGCAGAGAACCGGUGUUGGUGGGAAUCCGGUACGAGGAGUGAAACGGAAUGGACUUAUGAGAGGUUUCUUGAACACAAAGUAGGGAAACACGGCCUCCACCGUUACAAGGAUAGGGUAUCAGAACUCAGUUCUCGUACCUGAAAAGAGGAAGGGAUAAUUCCCUUCAAAAAGAGGUGGCACCGCGAACAAAAUCGUCCUCUAU
rnacentral:ncRNA from 1 species